UGUGAAGGAAAGGUGAAAAGGACCCCGGGAGGGGAGUGAAAGAGAACCUGAAACCUUGUGCUUACAAACAGUCAAAGGCCUACGGGCUGAUGGCGUACUUUUUGUAGAACGGUCCGGCGAGUUACUAAUGCCAGCGAGGUUAAGUGGUCAGAAGCCACGGAGCCGAAGGGAAACCAAGUCUGAAUAGGGCGUAGAGUUGGUAUUAGUAGACCCGAAACCGGGUGACCUAUCCAUGUCCAGGUUGAAGGAACCGUAAAAGGUUUUGGAGGACCGAACACACAUGUGUUGAAAAACGUGGUGAUGAGGUGUGGAUAGCGGAGAAAUUCCAAUCGAACUCGGAGAUAGCUGGUUCUCCUCGAAAUAGCUUUAGGGCUAGCCUCGAGCUGGAGUCUAACGGAGGUAAAGCACUGAACUGACGCGGGGCCCAAAAAGGUUACCAACUCAUAUCAAACUAAGAAUGCCGUCAAGAUACCCUCGGGAGUCAGUCUGCGUGAGAUAAGUCGCGUGGACAAAAGGGAAAGAGCCCAGACCGACAGCUAAGGUCCCAAAGUACGUGUUAAGUGGAAAAGGAUGUGGGAUUUCAUAGACAACUAGGAUGUUGGCUUAGAAGCAGCCAUACAUUUAAAGAGUGCGUAAUAGCUCACUAGUCGAGAAAACCUGCGCCGAAAAUGUAACGGGGCUAAAACACGACACCGAAGCUACGGAUUUCCUACUAGGUAGGAAGUGGUAGAGGAGCAUCCUGCAAGGACGAAGCCAAAGUGAGAGCGAUGGUGGACGAAACAGGAGAGAGAAUGCCGGAAUGAGUAGCGAGAUACAUGUGAGAAACAUGUAGGCCGAAUAUCUAAGGAUUCCUGGGUAAAGCUAAUCUUCCCAGGGUUAGUCGGGGCCUAAGGCGAGGACGAGAGUCGUAGUCGAUGGAUAACAGGUUGAUAUUCCUGUACUACACAUAAUCAGAACUGUGGGGACGCAGGAGGAUAGGGAAACCGGGGAAUGGAAAGACCCGGUCAAGCGCAAAGCUGUGGGAGAUAGGCAAAUCCGUCUCCUGUAAGUGAAGCGUGAUGAGGACUGAAAAAAAGUAAGGAAGUUUCCGAAUCCACACUGCCGAGAAAAGCCGCUAUUGCGUUAUGUGUACCCGUACCGUAAACCGACACAGGUAGAUGAGGAGAAAAUCCACAGGCCGACGGGAGAAGUGUUGUUAAGGAACUCGGCAAAAUGACCCCGUAACUUCGGGAUAAGGGGAGCCUCGCAAGAGGCCGCAGAAAAGAGGCACAAGCAACUGUUUAGCAAAAACAUAGGUCUAUGCGAAACCGUAAGGUGAAGUAUAUGGGCUGACGCCUGCCCGGUGCUGGAAGGUUAAGAGGAGAGGUUAGCGCAAGCGAAGCUUUGAAUUUAAGCCCCAGUAAACGGCGGCCGUAACUAUAACGGUCCUAAGGUAGCGAAAUUCCUUGUCAGGUAAGUUCUGACCCGCACGAAAGGCGUAAUGAUUUGUGCACUGUCUCGACAACACGCCCGGUGAAAUUGAAGAACCAGUGAAGAUACUGGUUACCCGCAACAGGACGGAAAGACCCCAUGGAGCUUUACUGCAGCCUGAUACUGGGAUUCGAUGAUAUAUGUACAGGAUAGGUGGGAGGCUAAGAAGCGAGAACGCUAGUUUUCGUGGAGCCGCCGGUGGGAUACCACUCUUAUGUCAUUGGAUUUCUAACCUGCAUCCGUAAUCCGGGUGAGGGACAAUGUCAGGCGGGCAGUUUGACUGGGGCGGUCGCCUCCUAAAAGGUAACGGAGGCGCUCGAAGGUCACCUCAGAAUGAUUGGAAACCAUUCAAAGAGUGUAAAGGCAAAAGGUGGCUUGACUGCGAGAGCGACGGCUCGAGCAGGUACGAAAGUAGGACUUAGUGAUCCGGUGGUAAUAAGUGGGAAUGCCAUCGCUCAACGGAUAAAAGCUACCCUGGGGAUAACAGGCUUAUCUCCCCCAAGAGUUCACAUCGACGGGGAGGUUUGGCACCUCGAUGUCGGCUCAUCGCAUCCUGGGGCUGAAGUAGGUCCCAAGGGUUGGGCUGUUCGCCCAUUAAAGCGGUACGCGAGCUGGGUUCAGAACGUCGUGAGACAGUUCGGUCCCUAUCCGUUGUGGGCGCAGGAAAUUUGAGAGGAGCUGUCCUUAGUACGAGAGGACCGGGAUGGACGUACCUCUGGUGUACCGGUUGCAGACCAACUGCACAGCCGGGUAGCUAUGUAUGGAACGGAUAAACGCUGAAGGCAUCUAAGCGUGAAGCCGCCCUCAAGAUAAGAUUUCCCAUUCU
rnacentral:rRNA from 1 species